rnacentral:rRNA from 1 species
GUGUCAGCAGCCGCGGUAAGACGAACCACACAAACGUUAUUCGGAAUUACUGGGCUUAAAGGGUGCGUAGGCGGCGCGGAAAGUUGGGUGUGAAAUCCCUCGGCUCAACCGAGGAACUGCGCCCAAAACUACCGUGCUCGAGGGAGAUAGAGGUGAGCGGAACUUAGGGUGGAGCGGUGAAAUGCGUUGAUAUCCUAAGGAACACCCGUGGCGAAAGCGGCUCACUGGGUCUUCUCUGACGCUGAGGCACGAAAGCUAGGGUAGCGAACGGGAUUAGAUACCCCAGUAGUCC